rnacentral:rRNA from 1 species
GACGAACGCUGGCGGCGUGCUUAACACAUGCAAGUCGAACGGAAAGGCCCUUCUUUUGUUGCGUGCUCGAGUGGCGAACGGGUGAGUAACACGUGAGUUACCUGCCCUUUACUUUUGAAUAACUUCAGGAGACUGUGGCUCAUACCGUAUAGUCGCUCCUCCUGCUUGGUGGUGGUUGGAUAGUUUCGGCGGUGGGGGAUUGACUCGCGGCUUAUCAGUUUGUUGGUGGGGUGGUGGCUUACCAAGGGUUUGAUGGGUAGCCGGCCUGGGAGGUUGACCGGCCAAAUUGGAACUAAGAAACGCCCCAGACUCCAACGGGAGCAAGCAGUGGGGAAUAUUGCACAAUGGCCCGAAGCCUGAUCCAGAAACCCCGCGUCCGGAAUACCGGCCUUCGGUUUGUAAACCGCUUUCGCCUGUAACGAACCUUUAGUGACGGUAAUUGCUAAAGAAGCACCGGCUAACUACGUG